rnacentral:misc_RNA from 1 species
ACUAUAUGUAGAGCUUGUAUGAGUGUAUAUAAUAAGUAGGCCACUCUCUAACUAUGUCAACUUAAGUGGCAGAUACCUCUGAACAGAAGACAAUUUCAUAAUUGAGCUGCAGAGAGAGAGAGAGAGAUGGAUGUCGCGAUAUCCUUGGAAUUGGAGCCACUAAAGCAGAGGAAUGAUCAUGGAAUGUUCUUUUCUAGUGGUAAUUUUAUCUGCAGUUUGAAUGCAAGAGACAGGAAAAUUGUUUGUGUCACCGGUGGAAACUCCUACUUUGGUUCUCACUUGAUCAAGAAGCUUUUGGCAUAUGGUUACCUUGUUCGAGUUAUUAUUCAAAAUCAAGCUAAUCUUGAGGAUAUGAAGGAGCUAAUGAGGGAAGAAAUGAAGCAACUGGAGAGUGUUGUGGUGGCAAGAAUGGAUGAUUUAGAUAGCCUCUGCAAUGCUUUUAGAGGUUGUCAUGUUGUUUUCCACACAUCAUCUUUCAUUGAUCCACGAGGGAUCUCUGGAUACACGGAACGAAUGGCAUUUAUUGAAGCUGAAGCAGCAAAGAAUGUCAUAGAAGCUUGUGGCAGGGCAGCACAUGUUAAAAGAUGCGUUUUCACCUCUUCUCUACUUGCAUGCAUCUGGAAAAAUGACCUGCCAAACCUCAUAGAUGAGAGCUCUUGGAGUGAUGAGACAUUCUGUAGAGAACACAAGCUUUGGGUAGCAUUGGCCAAGACCAGGGCAGAAAAGGCUGCUUGGUGGAAAGCAAGGGAGAUGAAGGUGAAACUUGUUACCGUAUGCCCUGGACUUCUCAUGGCACCAUCUUUCCCAAACGCUCACCUUGAAACUUCUGUCCCGUACCUCAAAGGUGGUGAUUUCAUGCUAAGACAAGGAACUCUAGCAACUGAAGAUGCAAGUAAAGUGGCAGAAGCACAUAUUUACGUCUAUGAAGAUAUGGAUUAUGGAGGGUGUGGGAGAUAUAUUUGCUUUGGAAAAAUAGUUGGAACAUUGGAAGAGGCCAUACAACUUGAAAAUGGGUUGAAUAUAGGUGGCCACUUGUCUGGGUAUCAAAGCCCUCUUGCAGUAGCAGUUGAUAAUAAUGAAAUUCCUCCCAAAAUUACUAAGUCAAAGCUCAGUAGAUUACUAUUCCAUGCGUCACAACGCCUUCCUUGCAAACAGUGAAUAGUAAUAUUUGCCUCAAAAUACGUAUAUAUAGCAAUUAGAGCAAUUUAUAUAAAGGUAACGUUCUAGACAAUAAAAUUUGCGUCUAAA